UUAACUUAUUAUAUAGUACUCAGACGACAUAAAAACAUAGAAUUUUGGGUCUCUGGCCGGGGCCCGAAGGCUGACCGACCAAAGCAACAAGUCGCAGACCGUUCCAGCAGACGUCCACCGUAUUGCUACGGCUUUCGCAUACUUUUCCGGACCUGCUAAAAUAACACAGGGUGGGAGGUCUACCCCGAAGGGCAUGAACUCUGUAAUGAUCCUUCCGCUGGUUCACCAACGGAAA
rnacentral:misc_RNA from 1 species